rnacentral:rRNA from 1 species
AGUCGAGCGGCAGCGCAGCAGUAGCAAUACUGUGGGCGGCGAGCGGCGGACGGGUGAGGAAUGCAUCGGAAUCUACCCUGAUGUGGGGGAUAACGUAGGGAAACUUACGCUAAUACCGCAUACGACCUACGGGUGAAAGCGGGGGACCUUCGGGCCUCGCGCAGCAGGAUGAGCCGAUGCCGGAUUAGCUAGUUGGUGGGGUAACGGCCCACCAAGGCGACGAUCCGUAGCUGGUCUGAGAGGAUGAUCAGCCACACUGGGACUGAGACACGGCCCAGACUCCUACGGGAGGCAGCAGUGGGGAAUAUUGGACAAUGGGGGCAACCCUGAUCCAGCCAUGCCGCGUGUGUGAAGAAGGCCUUCGGGUUGUAAAGCACUUUUGUACGGGAAGAAAUCGUUUGGGAUAAUACCCUGAGCGGAUGACGGUACCGUAAGAAUAAGCACCGGCUAACUUCGUGCCAGCAGCCGCGGUAAUACGAAGGGUGCAAGCGUUACUCGGAAUUACUGGGCGUAAAGCGUGCGUAGGCGGUUUGUUAAGUCAGAUGUGAAAGCCCCGGGCUCAACCUGGGAAUGGCAUUUGAUACUGGCGAGCUAGAGUACGGUAGAGGGUGGUGGAAUUCCCGGUGUAGCGGUGAAAUGCGUAGAGAUCGGGAGGAACAUCUGUGGCGAAGGCGGCCACCUGGACCAGUACUGACGCUGAGGCACGAAAGCGUGGGGAGCAACAGGAUUAGAUACCCUGGUAGUCCACGCCCCUAAACGAUGCGACUGGACGUUGGGCUCAAUUGAGAGUUCAGUGUCGAGCUACGCGUUCAGUUCGCCGCCUGGGG